rnacentral:rRNA from 1 species
UACGGAGGGAGCUAGCGUUGUUCGGAAUUACUGGGCGUAAAGCGCACGUAGGCGGCUUUGUAAGUUAGAGGUGAAAGCCCGGAGCUCAACUCCGGAACUGCCUUUGAUACUGGGAAGCUUGAGUCCGGAAGAGGUGAGUGGAACUCCGAGUGUAGAGGUGAAAUUCGUAGAUAUUCGGAAGAACACCAGUGGCGAAGGCGGCUCACUGGUCCGGUACUGACGCUGAGGUGCGAAAGCGUGGGGAGCAAACAGG